rnacentral:rRNA from 1 species
UUAUUUGAGAGUUUGAUCCUAGCUCAGGAUAAACGCUGGCGGUGUGCCUUAGGCAUGCAAGUCGAACGGGUCUAGCAAUAGACCAGUGGCAGACGGGUGAGUAACACGUAGGAAUCUACCCAGUAGUGGGGAAUAGCCCGCCGAAAGGCGGGGUAAUACCGCAUACGCCCGCAAGGGGAACGUCGCAAGACGCUAUUGGAGGAGCCUGCGCAUUAUCAGCUUGUUGGUGGGGUAAUGGCCUACCAAGGCUACGACGAUUAGCCGAUGUGAGAGCAUGAUCGGUCACAAGGUUACUGAGACACGGAACCUACACCUACGGGUGGCAGCAACCGGGAAUCUUGCGCAAUGGGCGAAAGCCUGACGCAGCGACACCGCGUGUGGGAAUAAGCUCUUCGGAGUGUAAACCACUGUGGCGAGGGAGAAAGUUCUGAUAGUACCUCGCUAGAAAGCACCAGCUAACUACGUGCCAGAAGCUUCGGUAAUACGUAGGGUGCGAGCGUUAUCCGGAUUUAUUGGGCGUAAAGGGUCCGUCGGCGGUCUGUUAAGUUCAUUGUUCAAGCCUGGGGCUCAACUCCAGAAAAGCAAUGAAAACUGACAGACUAGAGUUUGUUCGAGGAAGUUGGAAUUCUCAGUGGAGGGGUGAAAUCCGUAGAUAUUGAGAGGAACACCGCGCGCGAAGGCAGACUUCUAGGACACAACUGACGCUCAGGGACGAAAGCUUGGGGAGCCAAUGGGAUGGAGUUCACUCUAGUCCCCUUCAAUAGUAAUAUUGUUGAAAAAUAUGGCUAUAUCGGAGAACCUCCUUAUGGAUUUUAUUCGUAUCUAUGAUAUGGUAAUUUUAUGAGGACAACCCCGAGGGAAGUUCAAAAAUUUCAGAAAACCUUAUUCUGAAAACUAUGAACCCCGUAGAGACUACACGCCGUACCCCUAAACUAUUUUGUUUAGGGUGAAGAUAUAGUCCGACCUGCAUGGCAACAUGCAGCCUUAGAUAGAAAUGUCUAAGCGCCAUAAAUUUCUAUUAUUUAUGGUUAAUUGCUCAUAACUACUAUGAGCAUAAGUAACACAUCGUAGAGACCCCAGUAGUCCAAGCCGUAAACAUUCUUUGCUAGCUGUUUCGUCGCAAGACGAGAUGGCGCAAGCUAACGCGUUAAGCAAAGCGCCUGGGGAGUACGGCCGCAAGGCUAAAACUCAAAGGAAUUGACGGGGGAGCGCACAACCGGUGGAGCAUGUGGUUUAAUUCGAUACAAAGCGAAAAACCUUACCCGGAUUU